UCGAACGAGAAAGUGGAGCAUCCAUGAGUACAGUGGCGUACGGGUGAGUAACACGUGGAUCAUCUACCUCUUUGUGGGGAAUAACCCUGGGAAACCGGGGAUAAUACCGCAUAAGCCUGAGAAGGGAAAGCAGCAAUGCGCUGAGAGAGGAGUCCGCGGCCGAUUAGCUAGUUGGCAGGGUAAAAGCCUACCAAGGCAGAGAUCGGUAGCCGGCCUGAGAGGGCACACGGCCACACUGGCACUGAAACACGGGCCAGACUCCUACGGGAGGCAGCAGUGGGGAAUCUUGCACAAUGGGGGAAACCCUGAUGCAGCGACGCCGCGUGAGCGAUGAAGCCCUUCGGGGUGUAAAGCUCUUUCGGCAGGGAAGAUUAUGACGGUACCUGCAGAAGCAGCUGCGGCUAACUACGUGCCAGCAGCCGCGGUAAUACGUAGGCAGUAAGCGUUGUUCGGAGUUACUGGGCGUAAAGGGUGUGUAGGCGGUUGUUUAAGUUUAGUGUGAAAUCUCCCGGCUCAACUGGGAGGGUGCGCCGAAUACUGAAUGACUUCGAGUGCGGGAGAGGAUAGUGGAAUUCCUGGUGUAGCGGUGAAAUGCGUAGAUAUCAGGAGGAACACCGGUGGGUGUAGACGGCUAUCUGGACCGUAACUGACGCUGAGACACGAAAGCGUGGGUAGCAAACAGGAUUAGAUACCCUGGUAGUCCACGCCCUAAACAUGCAUAUUUUGGUGUGGGUCAUUCAGUUGAUCCGUGCCGGAGCUAACGCGUAAA
rnacentral:rRNA from 1 species